CCGUGUGUGAUACACAUGCCAUGCCCACUGCAGCCCCAGCUGAGUCCCUCCCAGGACAGCUCGCUGGCACUGCUGGCCUCUGGGACCACUCACUGAGCACUGUCCAGCAACUGUCGUGAGGGAAUUCUCAGAUUCUACUCUUCAAAAACAUGGGGGGAACAGAGUUGGCCCAAGAGCAACAGGAUUUGGGAGCUUUGCAUUCUGAUGCUGCAUGAAUGCUAUCUUUUCUGCAGUGCAGCUUGAAGGUUUGGGCUUGGCGCAGAACAGAGGGAGGACUGUAAAGCAGGAUCACGGGAGAGUUUGAUUUCCAGGCAGUGAUGAAUGGCGGGGGAGGCCAGGUCACCCGGCUGCAACAUCAAAGGGGCGACUGAACCAGCAGCACACUUGAAGUUAGUUAAAAUGCUAUCACCA